GAGUCCUGUCCAAAAAUGAGGUGAAUUAAUGCUCGGGUACUCAGGAACCCUGGACAGCUACAUGAGGUGUUUAAAAACUGCCCUGAGUAUCUUGCCAAACAAGUCUCUGCUCAUGAGGCCCUACAGAAUGAACAAGCUGAGGCGGGACAGUGUCCUGCCCUGUAGGAACAGUGACUGCUGACCUGCCACGAGUGAGCCGGGGACUGCCUGCUGCCUGCCAAUACAAUGAAGGAAGUGGUCUAUUGGUCACCCAAGAAGGUGGCAGACUGGCUGCUGGAGAAUGCCAUGCCAGAGUACUGUGAACCUCUGGAGCAUUUCACAGGCCAGGACCUGAUCAACCUGACCCAAGAGGAUUUCCAAAAACCCCCCUUGUGCCGAGUCUCCUCUGACAACGGGCAGCGGCUCCUGGACAUGAUAGAAACCCUGAAAAUGGAGCACCACCUGGAAGCACACAAGAACGGCCAUGCCAACGGGCACCUCAACAUCGGCGUCGACAUCCCCACCCCCGAUGGCAGCUUCAGCAUCAAGAUUAAACCCAACGGGAUGCCAAAUGGGUAUCGGAAGGAGAUGAUAAAGAUCCCCAUGCCAGAGCCAGAGCGCUCCCAGUACCCCAUGGAGUGGGGCAAGACUCUUCUGGCCUUUCUUUAUGCACUUUCCUGUUUUGUUCUCACCACAGUGAUGAUCUCGGUCGUCCAUGAACGAGUACCUCCUAAGGAGGUGCAGCCUCCACUACCGGACACGUUUUUUGACCAUUUUAACCGGGUGCAGUGGGCCUUUUCUAUUUGUGAAAUUAAUGGCAUGAUCCUUGUAGGACUCUGGUUAAUUCAGUGGCUGCUCUUAAAAUACAAGUAAGUAAAGUAAAAGCUCUAAGAGUCAGUGAUUGUGGGACUUGCACUCCAGACAUCUCAUUAUUAAUUAGAAAUGAAA